UGGUUGUUGUCAGCUCGUGUCCUGAGAUGGAGGUUUAAGUCCCGCAACGAGGCCAACCCUUUGAUUUUAGUCCCAAUCAUUAAGUUGGGCACUUUAAGGUGACUGCCGGUGACAAACCGGAGGAAGGUGGGGAUGACGUCAAAUCAUCAUGCCCCUUAUGACCUGGGGUACACACGUGCUACAAUGGGUCGUACAAAGAGGUGCAAGACCGCGAGAUGGAGCUAAUCUCUCAAAUCCUCUUUCAUUCGGAAUGUAGGCUGCAAAUCGCCUACAAGAAGUGGAUUUACUUUAAUCGGGAUCGACACUUGCGUUGAAUCGUUCCCCGGUCCCGUACACACCGCCCGUCACACCCCGAGAGUUUGUAACACCCGAAGUCGGUAGGGUA
rnacentral:rRNA from 2 species